rnacentral:lncRNA from 1 species
GAAUAUUUGAGAUGCUAGAAAGGAUCAUUGCUGCCCAGCAAGGCCGAGAGGAGAGAAGGGAGUUACCUGACCCUCCUCUACUACCACAGGUUGAGCCACCGCUAUAGCGAGCGAAUCCCGAGCCACCCCGGCAUGAGCCUCCUCCUCCACAGUACCCCCUGGCGCUACCGCUGCAGUAUAAUCUGGUGCCCCAGCCACAGUACUGCCCGGCACCGCCACAGUACAAU